UUCUUGGCCACGGUUCAGGGUUACUUCUGAGAUACCAUCCACUCUGGGAUGAAGAAGGGAGACUGACGGGCCAGGUUGCAAGAGGGGGCUUCCUCCUGCAUCCGUCCUUGGAGCUGGUAACCCGAUGUGUCACCUGCCAGGCAGGUUCCUUGCACCUACUUCCUAACGUCCAGAAACUUCUGUUGUUUAGGGAACUCAUCCAGGGCAUCUGUGUGAAGGACAGGAACCAAAAUGAGCUUGGCCAUUCUCGGAGAGCUGCGGCUGUGGGCAUCACACAAGUGGUUAUUUCUCGGAUCACCAUGGCAGCCCCUGGCAUGAUCCUGUUGCCAGUCGUCAUGGAGAGGCUGGAGAGACUACACCUGAUGAAGAAGUUGAAAGUGCUUCACGCCCCGCUGCAGGUCUUGCUGUGUGGCUGCUUCCUCCUCUUCAUGGUGCCAGUGGCGUGCGGGCUCUUCCCUCAGGAAUGGUAUCAGCCAUUUGUCGCCUGCUUUGUUUUAUCAAACACUCUGCUACUGCUCUCAACUGACCUGCUAGGAGGGAGGAGUGGGCAUCUGCCUAAGUUCUGGCCUUCUAACUUGGGGGUUGGGAGGGGAUGGCACACCAGCCAGGACUCUGAGGGACUGGGGGAGAAGCCAGGAGUAAGUGUUGAUCUUACUCAAUGCCUUAGAGACAUGGCGGGGGGUGACAGGAGGCUUCUUGUCCUGCCAACUGAGUGUUAGCCAGGCCACAUCUGCCUGGAUCUGGCCUUUAAAGGCAUUUAUUCUGCUUCUUCGGGUCUGUGCUUUUUCUGCCUCUGUGCUUCCUGGAGGGGAGGGUGGGAGAGAUUGAGGGGGGACGUCAGCCUGGGCCUAGCUGGGGACUGGCUCCAGGAUACAGGUGUAGCUGUGCAUGAUCUGAGAUAGUAGCAGUCACCUGCUGUCUGUGCAGGCUUGUGGCCAUCUGCCGGUCACCUGCUGAGUCCUGAGCUUACAGACUCGUGGAGAAGGCAGAUGUUAAAGCCAAGAACUCCACCUCCAGGUAGAUGAGGUGGAGGUCAAAUGUGACAUUUAAUUCCAGUAAUAAUUUUGGCUGUAAAGAUCAUGAAUUGAACUUGUAAUCCCACACUGCGGUUAGGACAUGGGUUUAAAGUAGGAGGAUCAAAAGUUCAAGACUAG
rnacentral:lncRNA from 1 species